rnacentral:rRNA from 1 species
UCGAGCGGAUGAAGGGAGCUUGUCUGGAUUCAGCGGCGGACGGGUGAGUAAUGCCUAGGAAUCUGCCUGGUAGUGGGGGAUAACGUCCGGAAACGGGCGCUAAUACCGCAUACGUCCUGAGGGAGAAAGUGGGGGAUCUUCGGACCUCACGCUAUCAGAUGAGCCUAGGUCGGAUUAGCUAGUUGGUGGGGUAAAGGCCUACCAAGGCGACGAUCCGUAACUGGUCUGAGAGGAUGAUCAGUCACACUGGAACUGAGACACGGUCCAGACUCCUACGGGAGGCAGCAGUGGGGAAUAUUGGACAAUGGGCGAAAGCCUGAUCCAGCCAUGCCGCGUGUGUGAAGAAGGUCUUCGGAUUGUAAAGCACUUUAAGUUGGGAGGAAGGGCAGUAAGUUAAUACCUUGCUGUUUUGACGUUACCAACAGAAUAAGCACCGGCUAACUUCGUGCCAGCAGCCGCGUUAAU